UUUAUGGAGAGUUUGAUCCUGGCUCAGGAUGAACGCUGGCGGCGUGCCUAAUACAUGCAAGUCGAGCGAACGGACGAGAAGCUUGCUUCUCUGAUGUUAGCGGCGGACGGGUGAGUAACACGUGGAUAACCUACCUAUAAGACUGGGAUAACUUCGGGAAACCGGAGCUAAUACCGGAUAAUAUUUUGAACCGCAUGGUUCAAAAGUGAAAGACGGUCUUGCUGUCACUUAUAGAUGGAUCCGCGCUGCAUUAGCUAGUUGGUAAGGUAACGGCUUACCAAGGCAACGAUGCAUAGCCGACCUGAGAGGGUGAUCGGCCACACUGGAACUGAGACACGGUCCAGACUCCUACGGGAGGCAGCAGUAGGGAAUCUUCCGCAAUGGGCGAAAGCCUGACGGAGCAACGCCGCGUGAGUGAUGAAGGUCUUCGGAUCGUAAAACUCUGUUAUUAGGGAAGAACAUAUGUGUAAGUAACUGUGCACAUCUUGACGGUACCUAAUCAGAAAGCCACGGCUAACUACGUGCCAGCAGCCGCGGUAAUACGUAGGUGGCAAGCGUUAUCCGGAAUUAUUGGGCGUAAAGCGCGCGUAGGCGGUUUUUUAAGUCUGAUGUGAAAGCCCACGGCUCAACCGUGGAGGGUCAUUGGAAACUGGAAAACUUGAGUGCAGAAGAGGAAAGUGGAAUUCCAUGUGUAGCGGUGAAAUGCGCAGAGAUAUGGAGGAACACCAGUGGCGAAGGCGACUUUCUGGUCUGUAACUGACGCUGAUGUGCGAAAGCGUGGGGAUCAAACAGGAUUAGAUACCCUGGUAGUCCACGCCGUAAACGAUGAGUGCUAAGUGUUAGGGGGUUUCCGCCCCUUAGUGCUGCAGCUAACGCAUUAAGCACUCCGCCUGGGGAGUACGACCGCAAGGUUGAAACUCAAAGGAAUUGACGGGGACCCGCACAAGCGGUGGAGCAUGUGGUUUAAUUCGAAGCAACGCGAAGAACCUUACCAAAUCUUGACAUCCUUUGACAACUCUAGAGAUAGAGCUUUCCCCUUCGGGGGACAAAGUGACAGGUGGUGCAUGGUUGUCGUCAGCUCGUGUCGUGAGAUGUUGGGUUAAGUCCCGCAACGAGCGCAACCCUUAAGCUUAGUUGCCAUCAUUAAGUUGGGCACUCUAAGUUGACUGCCGGUGACAAACCGGAGGAAGGUGGGGAUGACGUCAAAUC
rnacentral:rRNA from 1 species